rnacentral:rRNA from 1 species
UACGAAGGGAGCUAGCGUUGUUCGGAAUUACUGGGCGUAAAGCGCGCGUAGGUGGCUUGCCAAGUCAGGGGUGAAAUCCCAGAGCUUAACUCUGGAAUUGCCUUUGAAACUGGUAGGCUUGAGUACUGGAGGGGAUGGUGGAAUUUCUAAUGUAGCGGUGAAAUGCGUAGAUAUUAGAAGGAACACCGGUGGCGAAGGCGACCAUCUGGACAGUAACUGACACUGAGGCGCGAAAGCGUGGGUAGCAAACAGG